UUACCAACUGAGCUAGUGUGGAGUGGGAAAUAAUCUGUGCUAGGUAUAGGGCUGGCAGGUUACUUUUCCCCAGAGCAAGGAGUAACCAGGGACCAAAUUGUGAUUCCUGGCUGAGUCCAAAUAUUCCAAAGGUUAAUGAAAGUGAUUAUGCAUCUGCUUUCCAGCUCCAAACAGUAUCAGCUAUUCAUUACUGAGUCUCUGUUUGUAGAAAACAAACACAGGCAAUCUGAAUUAAGACAAUAAUGGCACAAUUCAAUAUCUAUUAAGUGCUGUCUUGGAGAUUUUAAAGGAAAAACAGCUUUGGCUAGGGCAAAGGGAUUGUAUAACUGCAUUGUUUCCUUGCUUCUGUGUAGUAAGUUAUGAAGAAAUAAUAGUGUGGAUAGAAUGGAAGAAUCCAGCAACUAUGAAGGAGGGCCCUCAUAACUCUUGGAUACAGAAAACAGGGUUUGUUUGGGUGAACUCCAUUCAAGGAACAUACCUCGGUGGGGUUCAGGUAGAGAAUAGAAGCACAGCAGAUCAGAAAACAGGGAGGCGAAUUGGAUUCAUAAAGUGUCUUAGAGCCGAUUUGCUGGCUGCAGAGUAUUUAGAAUGAAGAGUCUCUGAAGUAAGGCAUCAUGCAACAGCCUAUGAGCAAGCUUAGUCAAGAACAUGCUUGAGUGUGUGUUUCAAACAUAGGCACAACUCAAUUUUGCUGUGAAUUUUGUAUGUCUUUACAUGCACUUAUCAUUUUAUGUGGCAUCCAGGGUAAAAAAAUCAAUUCCAGAUCAGGUUGCAAUACACAGGAACUGACCAUUUUCAUAUACCGUGUGAUUUCAAUGGUCUAUUCAUAUUGGUGUUACUUCUACCACUCUAAAAGCUAUUGCCUCUAAUAUCAUCCUCUGGUGAGGGCAUUGCAUAGCAGAGGUUCUCAAACUUUUGUACUGGUGACCAGUGGUGAGCUGGAGCUAGUUCGC